GGCGCUAUCGUCUAGGGGUUAGGAUAGGUGGUUCUCAGCCAUCAGACCGGGGUUCGAAUCCCCGUAGCGCUGCCA
rnacentral:tRNA from 1 species